GUACAUGAAAAUAAGAAUUAUAAAUCUCUUAAACAUUUAUCUUCAGUAGAAAUUUCAAAGCCAUUGCAUCAUUCCUUGAGUGAGUAUUAACCUGAAAAAUCAUCACUAUAUAGCAUGAUUGCAGACAGGAUAUAAAAAAAUAAAAUGAAAAAAAAAAAAAACAGCAACAACAACAAAAACCUUUCAUAAAUGUGACAGUUUAUAUUCCUGUUCUCAUAAACAACAAGUAACACUCUAAUUUGAAUUCCCUAAUAUCGGUUCAACCCUAAAGAGAAAUAUGAUUUCACAUGAUUAGAAAGUGAACUUGCUGACGGACAAUGCAGUAUAAACAUUUUGUUAUAAAAAUAUCUAACGACAUAACCAAUCCUAAACAGCAGAAUAUAUUAACAAAGCAGUUACAGCACAGCUUCUCAACAUCACUCCUUAAAGACAACGCAUUAAAAUCAUGAGUGCUAAUAUGGUGUUAUAAACGAAAGUGGAGCCUGAUAACUGAAAAAUUAUCAAAUGUGCUACUUAUCAAACCUCUAUAAAUGUCACUGAGAUGUGCCUAAAGGCAGACUUCAAAGAAGUCUUUAAUGAGAGGUCCCCCCUCUCGCCCCCCCAUGAUUUAUGGUUAAUAUUCAUGUUGAGAUUUUGAAAAUAUGCUGUUGUUUUGGGUUUUUAGGCUUCCAUUUAGGAUUCCAUUCAAAACAUUGUUUUUCUUAUUGUAUCCAUAUAUUGCCUCAUUACAAGCCAGUAACAGAUUAUAAAAUGGCUAAGUUCAUGUUCAUUUCUCUUCUAAUAAAGUCGUUUCAGACAUGACAAAGAACGGGCACUCUAAAGAAAAUCUGUCAUCCAUACAUCUAUUUUCUGUACCGCAUAUCCUUACUGGGUCAUGGGGAACGUGGAGCCUAUCCCAGGGAGCAUGAGGCACAAGGUAGGGGACACCCUGGACAGGGUGCCAAUCCAUCGCAGGGCACAAUCACACACACAUUCACACACUGUGGACACUUUUGAACAUGCCAAUCAGCCUACAAUGCCGGAGUACCCAGAGGAAACCCCCAAAGCACGGGGCGAACAUGCAAACUCCGCAAACACAUCGAACCCUCAACCCUGGAAGUGUUAGGUGUGUGCGCUAACAACUAAGUCACCGUGCUCCUGAAAUCUGUCAUCUUGAGUAAAAUUGAUACUUGGUGCAAAGCAGAAAAAUAGAUUUUAGAAGAGGCUUUGUAGUAAAAAAAAAUUAAAUAAUAAUAACAAUACUACUACUACUACUACUAUUACUUUGAAAUGUUUUUCUUAUCUAAAAUGGAAUCAGUGCAAGAACUCUUUCAGUGAGCGACUUAACAGGAUUGUUACACUGUACUGUAGGCUACAUUGAUGAACUUUUAGACGAGUGCUGCUCAACACACACACACACACACACACACACAUACACACACACACACACACACACACACUUAACUGUCAAUCUCAAACACCUAGAGGCCUAUGCAAUUAGAGCACCACUUUAUUUGAAAGAAAGACCUGAAGCGAGAAAAUCGAGUAAAAGCAAGGAUGAAUGCUCGACACCUGUGUAGGUGUGUUUCACACCUACUUUUCACCCACACACAGGUGAUUUGGCUUAGUCACUUAUGUAAAAAAAAUAUCCUGUAAGAGAUUCCCUGCCACAACAGUGACCUAAGUUGAAAUAGUGCCCAAUUAGCCGCUCCAGAUCCUGGGAUUUCAGAGGGUUUCUUUGUGCUGAAGAGCAGCAGCCACUUGAACUUGAGGUGAUUAGCACUCCAGUGAAGUUAGAGCAAGAGAAGUUCUUGUAUGAAAUGAAAGUGUCACAGGUCUAUCCAUAGUUUCUCAGUCACCAUCUGGUUACAUUUUUGCUAAAGCCAGUCCAGCUCUACACAUGAAACAUUGUUUCUGCCCCCCCCCCCCCCCCCCCCCCCAUACUGUACCCUUGAAUGAUUUAGAGAUUCUGCAUGAGGUCAGUUGGAAAAUAUGCAGAAAAAUGGCUUACCAUGAAUGGAAAAAAUUGCAGGAAGUUUAUCUGAUUGCUCUGAGCAACCAGUUGUUUAAAGUGCAUCUGAUUUUGACCAGAUAAAGAAUCAUGAGGGCUACACUGCAGCAAAUAGCACAUAAGAGAUGUUUAGAGGUUUUAAACUAAAAACAUAAAACAAAGUGUCUCUAUUAGAAACAAAUGGUAUUAAUGGUGCAGAAAUUGUUCUUUGGUCCAUGGCAUUACAACAACAGAGUGCAUUCAUUUAAAAUCGAUUAAUCUGAAAACGAGUAUAAUGGAAUGACAGUAAAAAUAAAAUGCCUGCUUUGGGGGUUUUGCAGCAGGCAUUAGUGGGCAAGUGGGACAGAAGAGAUGGCCAGAGAUGACAGAGUGUUUUUUAAUGGAGCUCUUUUUGUGUCGAGGUGUCCCUGAUGAGAUCCCAGAAGCAGAAAUGGAGAACUGCAAGUUUAGACACCUUUCUGGCCCUGCUCCACUGGUACACUGUACACACUAAAGAAAAACAGAUAAAUAAAACAGUUUCUGUCAGACAUCUGAGUCUAAAACAAAUCCCGAAUACCUACAG
ensembl:lncRNA